AUACGGAGGGUGCAAGCGUUACUCGGAAUCGCUGGGCGUAAAGCGCGCGCAGGCGGUCUUUUAAGUUGGAUGUGAAAGCCUACGGCUCAACCGUAGAACUGCAUCCAAAACUAUUAGACUAGAGUGUGAGAGAGGAAGAUGGAAUUAGUUGUGUAGGGGUAAAAUCCGUAGAGAUAACUAGGAAUACCAAAAGCGAAGGCAAUCUUCUGGAACACUACUGACGCUGAGGCGCGAAAGCGUGGGGAGCAAACAGGAGUAGAAACCCCAGUAGUCC
rnacentral:rRNA from 1 species